rnacentral:rRNA from 1 species
GAGAGUUUGAUCAUGGCUCAGGAUGAACGCUAGCGGCAGGCCUAAUACAUGCAAGACGAACGGUAAGUUGAGUAGCAAUACUUAGCCAAGAGUGUCGUACGGGUGCGUAACACGUAUGCAACCUACCCUAUACAGGAGGAUAGCCUAGGGAAACCUGGAUUAACCCUUCAUAGUAUUAUUGGAUGGCAUCAUUUGAUAAUUAAAACUGAGGUGGUAUAGGAUGGGCAUGCGUCUGAUUAGUUAGUUGGCGGGGUAAUGGCCCACCAAGACGAUGAUCAGUAGGGGUUCUGAGAGGAAGAUCCCCCCACACUGGCACUGAGAUACGGGCCAGACUCCUACGGGAGGCAGCAGUAGGGAAUAUUGGUCAAUGGAUGCAAGUCUGAACCAGCCAUGCCGCGUGCAGGAAGAAGGCCUUCUGGGUUGUAAACUGCUUUUUGCCAGGGGAUAAAAUUUCCAUGCGUGGAAAACUGAAGGUACCUGGUGAAUAAGCCACGGCUAACUACGUG